AAUAGUGCUCCGCUCUAGCUGUCAUUUCAGAAAAAUUGUAAUGAAUUGUUAAAAAAGCAUAAUUUUAGAGAUUUAAAAAGUUCAAACCUUUUGAUUUGGACACUGACCUGGGCAGCCACGACAUGUUCUCCAUAGUGCAUCAUCACUUCUCCAGACAGAACCUCCUUCAGCUGGGAUAAGGAGAGCAGAGGCAGAGCGCUGCCGAGCAGACGGAAGCUCAGGUAACUGACAGAAACGGGAUGAACACGGGACAGGAAGUCAGUACGAGAAGUUCUGCCGCAGCUGUGAACUGCAUCAAUAGCAACACAAUGAACAACCACAGGCUGUAAUCAUCUGAUCCAUACGGAUGUCAGAAACCAAAAGGAGGUCAUUUAUCUCAGCGGUUAUAACUCCAGGAAUGAAUCAACAGCAGAUCCCCUUCAGGUAAGAACUCACUGAGUCGGGCCGGACGGCUCCUUGAACAUGCCCUCGGUGAUGGCUCUGUUCCAGAAGAGCUGGAAGCUGUCUUCCUUCAGAGAGAGCUUCAGGAGGUCCAGGGCCACGGCUGGGAGAACCAACUCCUUCUUUACCGAGUGCGCCGCCAUCUUCAGCACCCCGAUCAGCCUGACAGGGACGUGAUCGGAUGUUUCAUUUGGGUCAAACAGAGCAGAUGUGGAGAAACCCUCAGAGAGCUCCUACCUGGGGAUGUUGUCAGCAUUGAUGAUGGUGGAGGAGCCCAGGAGGCUUUUCAGCUUCUUGGGUUUGAGCGUAUGCGGGAAGCGCUGCAAAGCCACCAGCAGCAGCUGCAGCUGCUCUGGAGUGUUGAAGGCGGAGGCCAGGUCCGACUUCAGGGCGCUCAGCAGGACCUCCUCAAACACUUCCUCUGGGAUCUGAGAAGGCAUCAUGGUAACAUGUGUUCUGACUGUAGUAACGGAUAAUUAAAGGAGAGGCGCAGCGGUUACCUCCGUGAGGAUGUCCAUGAUGGUUUUGGUGGGCAGGUCCUUCAGGUGUUGCCUGUGCUGGCUGAGGCUCUGGAGGAGCUGCACACACGCGAGCACCACCUGCGGCUCCUGCAGACACACAGUUCUGAGACUACGACACAAAAACUUGCCCCCCAAUGCAUCUGUGAUCUUUAAAGUCCCAUUGAUCAUCUUUUCAGCUACUUUCAAAGCCUUCCCGAUGGUUUUAUAAUCAUGAUCAUGUUGUUUUUAGCCAAAAAUACAAAAAAAGUGUCGUUUUCUACAACAGUUUCUGCAGACUGGCAGGAGUUCACUAGAAAUUAAAGUUGCUAAAAAUCCAAUUUUGCUUUUUUAAGAUGUACCAGAGGGUCUUUAAAUUAUGUAGAAUAUGUGGCUUUUUCGAUGCUUUGAUAAUGAAACUCCAUUUGUCAUUUAAAAAACCUCAAGCUAAAUCAAGCAGCACCUAUAAAACCAAAGUACAGAACAAAGAUGUGCUAAAUGUGAACUUUAAAUUCAAAAAUUUACUAAAUAAUGUAAUAUAUAUGACUUUAAAUAAAAAAGUUUUUUUUUUACAUUUCUCACAAAUGCAAAAAAGUUUAUCUUGUUUUCCAGAGUUGAGUUUAGGUUAUUAGUUUAUCAUGACAGCUAAAAUAUACAUUAAGCAGAGAUUUUUUAGUAGCUAAUUUCCAUCUGUAGUCCCUUUACAAAACAAAAUGUAAUGGCUAAAGAUAAACAUAUUUACCAAUUUGGAAAAAAAGUUUAAGAAAAAUAACUGCCAUUAAAAAAACAGACAAAAAAAAUAAAGUGGCUUUUUUAUAAAUUUGUAUUGUACAGUUCUGACCAGGAUGGCAGGGGCAGAAGGGGAGAGUGAGGGGUGUCUAGGGCAAAUCGGGUUGUGCAUGUGGGGUAUACUACACCACUACUGGCUUUAGUGUUUAUAGUUACUGCUGGAAAAACAACAAAAUCUCCCGACGGUCUUUAAUGAAAGUACAAAUGCUCACUUUAAAGAGUCGCCCGGACUGGUGAAGAGCCAGAACACCAAACAGGCUUCCAAACAUGGCAUUUUUCGCUAAUUUCUGUAAAAAAAAAAA